rnacentral:pre_miRNA from 2 species
CUUUUUGCGGUCUGGGCUUGCUGUUCUCAAUCAAAGUAUCCAGGAAGCCCUUAUCCCAAAAAGAAU